GACGAACGCUGGCGGCGUGCUUAACACAUGCAAGUCGAACGCUGAAGCUUGGUGCUUGCACUGGGUGGAUGAGUGGCGAACGGGUGAGUAAUACGUGAGUAACCUGCCCUUGACUCUGGGAUAAGCCUGGGAAACUGGGUCUAAUACUGGAUACGACACGUCACCGCAUGGUGGUGUGUGGAAAGGGUUUUACUGGUUUUGGAUGGGCUCACGGCCUAUCAGCUUGUUGGUGGGGUAAUGGCUCACCAAGGCGACGACGGGUAGCCGGCCUGAGAGGGUGACCGGCCACACUGGGACUGAGACACGGCCCAGACUCCUACGGGAGGCAGCAGUGGGGAAUAUUGCACAAUGGGCGGAAGCCUGAUGCAGCGACGCCGCGUGAGGGAUGACGGCCUUCGGGUUGUAAACCUCUUUCAGCACGGAAGAAGCGAAAGUGACGGUACGUGCAGAAGAAGCGCCGGCUAACUACGUG
rnacentral:rRNA from 1 species